GAAACUCUUUGUUAUGCAUGGACAAGAUAAUAUGAGCUUCUGAUUUCUUUAGGGUGUCAUCACGUGAGCAGCCUGAAGCCCUUCCAAGCGAAACCACCACAUUGCACAGGAGCGACAAAAGAAGCCAGCAGCGAAGGGGUUAAAGAAAUGCUACUAGUGACUUAAAUCAUCAGCAAGAGGGAAAUUCAGACUGAACAACGAAAAGCUGACAUUUCAUUGGCUUCAACCCAUGGAGCGGUUUGACCUGCAUUAGGAGAGUCACCCUUCUUUAGCCUCUCCGCCCAUGCUCUGGCUGCAGCUGGGCAAGAAUUCCCCUGCUUUCUAGUCUCCUACCAGCUGGUUCCCAGCUUGCACCAGUGCUGCAGCAAUGUUUGAAUUCUGCUUUUCCGUCUCUUCACUGCGCUUGGCUCCCCACCUCAGACCUGCAGUACUGCACCCUUCCCAGAGACCCCUGCUUUCUAGACACCCCGCCCACCUCGGUCUGCUCUCUAGCCGAGGCCUCCACUCCAGCAUUACAGACGC